ensembl:lncRNA
GUAAUGGACACCGAUUAACAACCAAUACCAGCUUUCCAAAGCUCCAAGCCACAAACAUGAAUGAUUCCUAAAAGGGAAUCAGUACUAAAUCCUCUUCCUGAAAAGUCAAAAAUACUGCCACAAUCCCUGGGAGGACGGCUCCCUUCUUUCGUCCCAGCAGUUCGCCUCUUUUUUCACUUAAGACUCAGGUUGGGACUCAUUUCAACCGCAGCCCCAUUUCCUUCGGGGGGAGAGGGGUAAGAGGGAUGUGUUACAACUCGCAUCUUUACAAAUGCUACGCAGUUUACAAAGAGCUUGGACUUCCGUCAAACUCCUCUGAGCUCCGCGAGUGAGGGAGCCAUUCAUUCAUUCAUCAAACAUUUGCUCUGCCUGACCACGCGUCAUCGGGCGCUGGUGUCCCUCCACACCAGGGGAAGGGUGGGGCGCUCGCGCCCUCGAGCAGGUGCGGCAGAUCAAGCUGUAAGAUAACUUCUCGAGCAGCUGGGCUUUCCGAAGGCCCGUUUGGGGCCAAAUGCCUCACCUUCGGGUGGUGCGCGCCCGAGCAUGGCCGCGCGGCCUGGGCCUCCUCCUUGCUCCCCAAGGAGCAGUCACCACCUGCUCUGAAGGAAACCGCUACAGAGCAAGCUCUCUCCACCGCCCUCGGGUCAGGGUGAGGCGAGAGCCCCGCACUAAGCGAGGGAGACAGCGAGCUGAGCUCCGGGCGCUACCGCCGCCGCCGCCGCCGCGAGCGUGAGAGCCAGGGAGCAUCUGAGAGACCCAGCGCCCGUGCACCGGCCGCCGCCAGGACCUCUGCCCUGACCUGGGCCGGCGGGAGCCGCGGCCACCUCUCUUCUCCCCCCCUCACCUUCCCGGCCGGCAGCCGCGGCUGCACACGCCGGAGCCCGAGCCGGAGCCGGUGGCUGGGGGGCAGGGAGGUGGCUACCUCGGACCGGGACUAGUCCGCUGCUCCGCGGGGAGAGGACGCUGAGGAGGGGCCGGAGCUUCUGUUGGUCCCGGGGCGCGGGGCGAGGGACCCCCAAGGUGGAGGGCGGGGGUCCCAGCCGCAGCGACACAUGCGGGAGCCGGGAGCGGGGGCGGCGCCGAGCGGAGCCGGCCGGGUCCCCCACCUCGCCGCCGCCUCGGCCACCCGCCCGGGGCCGUAGCAUCUCGCCGCGGAGUGCAUGAGCCGGGGCUCCACGCCGGGCAGACGCCCCCCGGCUGGGGGGGCG